UUAAGCGACUAAGCGUACACGGUGGAUGCCCUGGCAGUCAGAGGCGAUGAAGGACGUGCUAAUCUGCGAUAAGCGUCGGUAAGGUGAUAUGAACCGUUAUAACCGGCGAUUUCCGAAUGGGGAAACCCAGUGUGUUUCGACACACUAUCAUUAACUGAAUCCAUAGGUUAAUGAGGCGAACCGGGGGAACUGAAACAUCUAAGUACCCCGAGGAAAAGAAAUCAACCGAGAUUCCCCCAGUAGCGGCGAGCGAACGGGGAGCAGCCCAGAGCCUGAAUCAGUGUGUGUGUUAGUGGAAGCGUCUGGAAAGGCGCGCGAUACAGGGUGACAGCCCCGUACACAAAAAUGCACAUGCUGUGAGCUCGAUGAGUAGGGCGGGACACGUGGUAUCCUGUCUGAAUAUGGGGGGACCAUCCUCCAAGGCUAAAUACUCCUGACUGACCGAUAGUGAACCAGUACCGUGAGGGAAAGGCGAAAAGAACCCCGGCGAGGGGAGUGAAAAAGAACCUGAAACCGUGUACGUACAAGCAGUGGGAGCACGCUUAGGCGUGUGACUGCGUACCUUUUGUAUAAUGGGUCAGCGACUUAUAUUCUGUAGCAAGGUUAACCGAAUAGGGGAGCCGAAGGGAAACCGAGUCUUAACUGGGCGUUAAGUUGCAGGGUAUAGACCCGAAACCCGGUGAUCUAGCCAUGGGCAGGUUGAAGGUUGGGUAACACUAACUGGAGGACCGAACCGACUAAUGUUGAAAAAUUAGCGGAUGACUUGUGGCUGGGGGUGAAAGGCCAAUCAAACCGGGAGAUAGCUGGUUCUCCCCGAAAGCUAUUUAGGUAGCGCCUCGUGAACUCAUCUCCGGGGGUAGAGCACUGUUUCGGCAAGGGGGUCAUCCCGACUUACCAACCCGAUGCAAACUGCGAAUACCGGAGAAUGUUAUCACGGGAGACACACGGCGGGUGCUAACGUCCGUCGUGAAGAGGGAAACAACCCAGACCGCCAGCUAAGGUCCCAAAGUCAUGGUUAAGUGGGAAACGAUGUGGGAAGGCCCAGACAGCCAGGAUGUUGGCUUAGAAGCAGCCAUCAUUUAAAGAAAGCGUAAUAGCUCACUGGUCGAGUCGGCCUGCGCGGAAGAUGUAACGGGGCUAAACCAUGCACCGAAGCUGCGGCAGCGACGCUGAUGCGUUGUUGGGUAGGGGAGCGUUCUGUAAGCCUGUGAAGGUGUGCUGUGAGGCAUGCUGGAGGUAUCAGAAGUGCGAAUGCUGACAUAAGUAACGAUAAAGCGGGUGAAAAGCCCGCUCGCCGGAAGACCAAGGGUUCCUGUCCAACGUUAAUCGGGGCAGGGUGAGUCGACCCCUAAGGCGAGGCCGAAAGGCGUAGUCGAUGGGAAACAGGUUAAUAUUCCUGUACUUGGUGUUACUGCGAAGGGGGGACGGAGAAGGCUAUGUUGGCCGGGCGACGGUUGUCCCGGUUUAAGCGUGUAGGCUGGUUUUCCAGGCAAAUCCGGAAAAUCAAGGCUGAGGCGUGAUGACGAGGCACUACGGUGCUGAAGCAACAAAUGCCCUGCUUCCAGGAAAAGCCUCUAAGCAUCAGGUAACAUCAAAUCGUACCCCAAACCGACACAGGUGGUCAGGUAGAGAAUACCAAGGCGCUUGAGAGAACUCGGGUGAAGGAACUAGGCAAAAUGGUGCCGUAACUUCGGGAGAAGGCACGCUGAUAUGUAGGUGAAGUCCCUCGCGGAUGGAGCUGAAAUCAGUCGAAGAUACCAGCUGGCUGCAACUGUUUAUUAAAAACACAGCACUGUGCAAACACGAAAGUGGACGUAUACGGUGUGACGCCUGCCCGGUGCCGGAAGGUUAAUUGAUGGGGUCAGCGCAAGCGAAGCUCUUGAUCGAAGCCCCGGUAAACGGCGGCCGUAACUAUAACGGUCCUAAGGUAGCGAAAUUCCUUGUCGGGUAAGUUCCGACCUGCACGAAUGGCGUAAUGAUGGCCAGGCUGUCUCCACCCGAGACUCAGUGAAAUUGAACUCGCUGUGAAGAUGCAGUGUACCCGCGGCAAGACGGAAAGACCCCGUGAACCUUUACUAUAGCUUGACACUGAACAUUGAGCCUUGAUGUGUAGGAUAGGUGGGAGGCUUAGAAGUGUGGACGCCAGUCUGCAUGGAGCCGACCUUGAAAUACCACCCUUUAAUGUUUGAUGUUCUAACGUUGACCCGUAAUCCGGGUUGCGGACAGUGUCUGGUGGGUAGUUUGACUGGGGCGGUCUCCUCCUAAAGAGUAACGGAGGAGCACGAAGGUUGGCUAAUCCUGGUCGGACAUCAGGAGGUUAGUGCAAUGGCAUAAGCCAGCUUGACUGCGAGCGUGACGGCGCGAGCAGGUGCGAAAGCAGGUCAUAGUGAUCCGGUGGUUCUGAAUGGAAGGGCCAUCGCUCAACGGAUAAAAGGUACUCCGGGGAUAACAGGCUGAUACCGCCCAAGAGUUCAUAUCGACGGCGGUGUUUGGCACCUCGAUGUCGGCUCAUCACAUCCUGGGGCUGAAGUAGGUCCCAAGGGUAUGGCUGUUCGCCAUUUAAAGUGGUACGCGAGCUGGGUUUAGAACGUCGUGAGACAGUUCGGUCCCUAUCUGCCGUGGGCGCUGGAGAACUGAGGGGGGCUGCUCCUAGUACGAGAGGACCGGAGUGGACGCAUCACUGGUGUUCGGGUUGUCAUGCCAAUGGCACUGCCCGGUAGCUAAAUGCGGAAGAGAUAAGUGCUGAAAGCAUCUAAGCACGAAACUUGCCCCGAGAUGAGUUCUCCCUGACCCUUUAAGGGUCCUGAAGGAACGUUGAAGACGACGACGUUGAUAGGCCGGGUGUGUAAGCGCAGCGAUGCGUUGAGCUAACCGGUACUAAUGAACCGUGAGGCUUAACCUU
rnacentral:rRNA from 2 species